UUGCCCUUCUGGCUGCCUCUCACUCUGU
rnacentral:piRNA from 1 species